GGGCCCGCACAAGCGGUGGAGCAUGUGGUUUAAUUCGAUGAUACGCGAGGAACCUUACCAGGGCUUAAAUGUAAGUUGCAUAGAUCAGAGAUGGUCUUUUCUUCGGACUACUUACAAGGUGCUGCAUGGUUGUCGUCAGCUCGUGCCGUGAGGUGUCAGGUUAAGUCCUAUAACGAGCGCAACCCCUGUCGUUAGUUGCCAGCAAGUAAUGUUGGGCACUCUAGCGAGACUGCCGGUGCAAACCGCGAGGAAGGUGGGGAUGACGUCAAAUCAUCACGGCCCUUACGUCCUGGGCUACACACGUGCUACAAUGGUCGGUACAGAGAGCAGCCACUACGCGAGUAGGAGCGAAUCUAUAAAACCGAUCUCAGUUCGGAUCGCAGUCUGCAACUCGACUGCGUGAAGCUGGAAUC
rnacentral:rRNA from 1 species